CCAAGACCAAUUUGAUCAGUUAAUGUGUUUUUUAUGCAUAGUGCUUCAGCAGUUGACAUAUAUAGAGCUCAGCGGAAACAUAUAAAUUAUAGCAUCUGACCAAUGAGAAUUUCGCGUCACGAUUUGAGACGCAGAUAUUCAAAUUCAUUGGUCAUCGAUGCAGGUUCUCAAUUCAGCUUGAGAGCCUGUUCGCAGGCUAAGUU